GCCUGCUCCUCCCUCACGCGCGCCGGCCCGCAGCCCGCUCCCUCGCCCUUCUCCUCCCCUCGCAUACGCCGUCAUCGCCGUCGUCGCCGCCGCCGCCGUCGCUCGGUGCCCUCUCCUUCAUGCUCUCCAUCCUCGGCUACUCCUCCCCUCGCUUUGCGCCAUUGCCGCCUCACCCUCCUCCUCUUAUCAUCGCAGUGCCGACGCCGUCCUCCUUGCCGGUGGAUCAGCGAGGAGCCCGGGGCUGCCAGAUCCGAAGACCCCGACCUCGCUGGUGGAUCUAGCAGCCUGGAGGAAAGGGACGCAAGCCAUAGCGACCCUCUUCCCCUCUUUCAUCUCUGCUCCGCCAUCACAUCUCUCUCGAUCGACCUAUCCGCGCCGCUUGGUUGUUGCAGGUUUGUCUCGAUGGCCGUCGGAAUUGAUGAUCUCGACCAGAAGUGAAGGCUGCCACCCCUGCUCUCUUCUCCUCUUCCUCUCCGGUCCUCCACUGCUCCUCUCGACCCUCUUCCUCCCGCUCUCCGCGCCGCUCGGUGGCAGAUCCAAGGGGCUAUUUGGUCUCCUAUGAGGAGGACACAUGAACGCUAGGGUGUGGGGGCUGACCGAUGGCUAGGAGGCUGGGAAGGAGAAGCUAGAGCCAGAGUGGCGCGGCUCAGACCCCAAAGCCACGACGACGGCAGGGCAGCGUCGACUAUGGCUAGGUACAGUGACGACGACUGCAACAGCUUGGUUGGUCCUGCUCUUUUUUUCUUCUUCACUUCUUUUUUUGGUUCACUGGGAGAGGCAACCCACUACUGAUGGGCAUUUGAACUAACAUGGCAUCUCUCCUGGAGCAACUGUCAGUACUUGCAUUGCAGUCAAAUUGGCGAAUCCAGAGUAAUUUCCCAUUUUGUCUCAACGAUAUGCUUUGUGCUUAUUUCAUUGUGAUGUCUAACAUAUGUUCAUGCUCCAUCUCAACCUGUCAGGAAGUAUACCCUGUGCGACAUUCUAAUUAUGGGUCUCCUAAUUUUCAUAUCCAAAAAUAGAAGUAUGAAGCUGUGCUAGGUCUGCUCACAAAUGGUUCUUUGUGGAGCAUAUCAGUAUAUAGGUAAAUUGUGCUUUAGAUUUUCUCCUUAAAUCAUAUGAAAAGUCUAUAUAUGCUUCUUCAUUGCGCAUGACUGUUGCAGUACUGAUAUGACCCUUUGCCAUGGACUCUCUGCGAUCUUCCCAUUGUAUGGAGCACAAGAAUAACAUAUACGCCAGAUAUUUAAUCUAUAGAAACUUCAAUGUUGCACUUUGUCUUCAGAAUUACCUAUUGUCUAAAUAUACCAUGUAUCCAGCUGUAAUACCAAUUAUUUACUUACAUUUUAUAGAGGAGUUUAUCAAAAUUGUUCUAAGAUAAUAUAAUAUGGCAGGAUAUUUUUAUAGUUUCAUGGAGGUUUACACAUUUAGUACCAUAGCUUUCGUUUUACUAGGCUUUCUCAAUGUUUCCUUAAAGGCAUGAGAUCAUUUUUUUUAAACAUGCUGCUGAUGGCAAGUUAGUUUUUCUAUGUAACUGCGGUGAACUGAUACCAGUAAUGUGCUCAUCCAAUCGUUAAAGAAAACUUGCGCUGAGUUAGUGAUCUUAAGAUAGUAACUGUCAUACAAAUGACCUUUUGUUAGGUGCAGCAUUGUUUAGACUUUGGAGGAUUCAACUCUUUUGAACUUAUGUGAAUGGAAGUAUCUAAUACUACCUGAGUACCUGUUCAGUCAAGAAAAUCACAUGCAAGGUAUUUUGGAUCUUGAUAGGUUCUACACAAACUAAUAUCUAGCUUUUGGUUGAUGAGAAUUUCUGCUCCAUACUGAAGGAGUUUGUUGUUGUAGUUGUACAUAUCCUGGUGGAUGGGCUCACGUAAUUUUCUGGAGCCUCAAAUCCGCAAUUACAUUGUCAAAUUUUGACUGACUGCCAUGCUUGACUGAUUCUUUACCUCAUGCACGUGCUCUAUGGACGCUGUAACCUUUUGGUUUAAGUGCAUUGCUCAGGUGCUCCUGACGACAGGACUUCGUUGUACACAAUUGUGCAAAUUUGAGUGGAUGAGCUUGUGUAAUCCUCUGAAACUCCUAUUACAGUUCCAGAUUUUGACCUGCAGUUAUUUUUAGUAAUCAUUUACCUUAUGUCAUUAUUUUCUUUGUAUGUGUAUUUUUGCAGACUUGCAGGACCAUUUUCUAUUUUCUUAUAAGCAAAAAGUGAAAGAACAAGAGUGACCCACAAAGCAUGGCUUUCAUUAUUGAAUCAGAAAGUGCAAAACUUAAUAUUCACAUUGUAGAGAGCAUAUUUGAGGUUGAAAGAUUGUACAGCUGCAUUCGUGUAGAAUCGAUUUGCUAUAGAAAGAAAUGGUUUGUGGGUCACAGUUUAGUUGGACCAACCUUUUUCUCAUUAGUCACCUUACAACUCACAAGGAGCAACACGUAGCAGUAUAGCACUUUUUUAGAGGAACCAUUUCUUCUGUUUGAUGCGUGCACACUGUACGGCUAUGAUAAAUCUUAAACGGGUGACAGGUAAUUGGAUGCACACUGUACUCUUGAUUUGUGCAGCUAUCCUUUCUUUCCAACGAGUGUGAAUCAAUCCCUUCAAAAUUUCUUCUACCUAUGUACGUAUUGAUGUAGUUGCGAUCCAAUUUGUACUUUUUUAAUUGUUGCAUGCUCUAUGUAUGUACAUGCUUUUUAUUUCAUUCAAUUUGGUAUAUACUAUGUGAGCACAAAAUGCAUUCAAGUAAUAUUUAGUCAGUAGGUCUCAACUCUUCUCUAAAGGACGUAAUGAAUUGGAUUUGUAUACUUGCUCUGUUUUCAUCUGACUAACUCUGGAUUUGUAUACUUUGCUCUGUUUUCAUUAACUCUGAAACAUCCUUACAAUGCAGGUGCCAUAUAGUGUCGAUAAUUCAGGAAGGGAAAGCUAUGUGGACAAAAAAUGAUGUCCUUUUUAGUGUUCCAUGGUAGUUUAUUUAUUUUUACUUUUUCAAUGAUCGUUGUGACAAACAUGUAAAGUUAUCUAAUAUACUCCAUAGUGUGUAGGGCUAUGUCUCUUGGUAUGAGAGCUGCUUUUGCUUAGCACACGAUUUUACACAUAGUCAUCCGAUCAAACGAAUCAAAAUAUAUUUGGAUCUUACCUAUAUAUACAUGUAUAUCAUUUUCC
rnacentral:sRNA from 1 species